rnacentral:rRNA from 1 species
UACGUAGGGGGCGAGCGUUGUCCGGAGUUACUGGGCGUAAAGCGCACGCAGGCGGUCUGCUAAGUUUGGAGUGACAGUUGGUGGCUUAACUGCCAAAGUGCUUCGAAAACUGACAGACUUGAGGGCUUCAGAGGGACACGGAAUUCCGGGUGGAGUGGUGAAAUGCGUAGAGAUCCGGAGGAUCACCAAAGGCGAAGGCAGUGUCCUGGGGAGUACCUGACGCUCAGGUGCGAAAGCCAGGGGAGCGAACGGG